rnacentral:rRNA from 1 species
CAGAGGGUGCAAGCGUUGUUCGGAAUUAUUGGGCGUAAAGGGAGUGUAGGCGGCUUGUUAAGUCUUCUGUGAAAGCUACGGGCUUAGCCUGUAAAGUGCAGAGGAAACUGGCGAGCUUGAGUGUCGGAGAGGGUAGCGGAAUUCCCGGUGUAGAGGUGAAAUUCGUAGAGAUCGGGAGGAACACCAGUGGCGAAGGCGGCUACCUGGCUGACAACUGACGCUGAGACUCGAAAGCAUGGGGAGCAAACAGGAUUAGAUACCCUGGUAGUCCAUGCCGUAAACGAUGAUAGCUAGAUGUGUGAGGUAUUGACCCCUUACGUGUCGAAGCCAACGCGAUAAGCUAUCCGCCUGGGGAGUACGGUCGCAAGAUUA